CGAUGCAUUAGUCGAUGCCCCGGUAGCUCAGUGGUAGAGCAGCUGCAUUUGUGUGAGCAAGACCGAGCACCACUGUCAGCGUUGUUGCAGGUUCGAAUCCUGCUCUGUGGCUA